rnacentral:rRNA from 1 species
CUACGGGUUGCACCAGUGGGGAAUAUUGCACAAUGGAGGGAACUCUGAUGCAGCAACGCCGCGUGGAGGAUGACGCAUUUCGGUGUGUAAACUCCUUUUAUAUAGGAAGAUAAUGACGGUACUAUAUGAAUAAGCACCGGCUAACUCCGUGCCAGCAGCCGCGGUAAUACGGAGGGUGCAAGCGUUACUCGGAAUCACUGGGCGUAAAGCGCAUGCAGGCGGUUAAAUAAGUUGGAAGUGAAAUCCUAUGGCUCAACCAUAGAACUGCUUCCAAAACUGUUUAACUAGAGUCUGGGAGGGGAAGAUGGAAUUAGUAGUGUAGGGGUAAAAUCCGUAGAGAUUACUAGGAAUACCAAAAGCGAAGGCGAUCUUCUGGAACAGUACUGACGCUGAGAUGCGAAAGCGUGGGGAGCAAACAGGAUUAGAUACCCCAGUAGUC